GAUGAAGAACGUAGUGAAAUGCGAUAAGUAAUGUGAAUUGCAGAAUUCAGUGAAUCAUCGAAUCUUUGAACGCACAUUGCGCCCGCCAGUAUUCUGGCGGGCAUGCCUGUCCGAGCGUCAUUUCAACCCUCGGGCCCCCCUCUGCGGGCGGCCCGGCGUUGGGGCUCAGGCGCCGUCUCUGCUCGGCGCCUGUCCCCUAAAUGCAGUGGCGGCCUCGCCGCUGCCUCCUCCGCGUAGUAGCACAAACCUCGCGGCUGGAAGGCGGCGCGGCCACGCCGUAAAACCCCCCAACUUUACCAAGGUUGACCUCGGAUCAGGUAGGAAUACCCGCUGAACUUAAGCAUAUCAAUAAGCGGAGGA
rnacentral:misc_RNA from 1 species